rnacentral:lncRNA from 1 species
UUUUUAUUCAGUGAAAAAAGUUGACAUUGAGACAAAAAUUAUCUUAAAAUUGUGCAACAAUAUAGUAAAACCUUCAGCAGAUUUCAGUGACUUGGAAACUUAUCGAGGCAAUUGAAAUUAUAAAUACCUAAUUUCACUUUGGAGAGAAACAAGUAUACAGUGUUUCGCUUUAAAUAAGAGUAGAAUAGGCCUUUAUUUUGCCACAAAUACUUUCGAUUUUGCCUAAAGUUUCUAAUAGUUCAUAACAAGAGCCUUUAAAUGAGAAGUGACAUAGAAUAUUUGAGGAUAAUGUUCCACUCCAGCAUUCAUGCUUAUUCCAUUUGAGCUAUUACACAUGAAACUAAUACCAUUCUUGGGUUAUUACUUGGCUGUGAUGAUUUAAUUCAUAAUAUGGCUGCUCAAAAUUAGUGGGCAGAAACAUAUAUACAACUCAUCCUCCCUCAACCCAUUUUCGGUGCUGGUACUCCAUCCGAAAACACACUUACUGUCCGUGUACCCAACAGUACAUAUCUCUUGCUAUCCAUUCCAUAUCUCAGUCUUGCAUAGAAAGUAGUCUAUAUAAACUUAAUGCACUGGCUUUUAUUACACAAAAAUUGUACCUGAAAGGCAGCACACACUCCAGUUAAGAAAAAUAACAUGACAGGAAUGUCAAGAUAUAAUCCCAACACAAGAUUCUGCACAGAGUUUGAGAGUCAAUUCCGAAAAUCAAUAUGGGGUGAUAUUCAGUUUGGUUAUGUCUCUGGAUGCCUUCUCUAAGGGACCCCUCCAACCGUCUGCAGAAGGAAGAAGAUUUUCAGGAAUUCACCAUGACUCCCUUCAUGGAGAAGGGACUGACCAAACCUGACAGGAUGGUGUUUCUGCCCUAAGGAAGUGUACUGGAAAUAUAAUCUUACUAGAUGCAGGGACCACUGGGUAAGCAUCUGAAGGCAGGAUUCACCAAGGAGGAGUGGGUGCUCAUCUGUAAGGGGCUCACCAUACUACUGCUCUCCCAAGCCUCCCCUGAAAAUGGCCAGUUUUAAGAAGGGUUACAUUCCUUAAAUUUUUGCUGAGUAUAGCCAAACAUGAUGGGCAGGAGAGAAAAGGCAGCUGUGUGUCCCCUGUCCGUCCUACCCAAAUAUCCCUGGUGAUGCUACCAAAGACAGAACCCCAGGAAUUACUUGUUCAAAAGUCAAAGUUUCAACAGUUACCCAGAAUAAUAACUAUCUACCCAGCUUGUCAAGGUAGCCAGGAGCUCCGGGAGCUUCUCACCUGUCUGGAACUAGGACUGCACAGACAUGGCCUUUUCCUGGAAUAUCCUCUGUAGAACUUCACUCUCUGACAUUUUAUCCAUGUGGACUCGUAUCUCAUAAAGCUCAAGGGGCAUUCAAUACAUCCAGGAGUAAAAUCGGCUUCCAGAGAAAACUCAUAAGCAAACCCCCUGCCCACCAAAUUUUAGAGGCCCAUCGUGGUCCACAUGGAUGCAGGCAUCUGACAUUCUAAUGUACACCGCGAGAGAAUAAAACCGUUUUCCUGCACGGUGUGACCUUCUGAGGUGGCAUCUCCAACAAGGUACAAAAGCCCCUUCUUCACAAGCAAGGAGGGACUCCAGCCGGUCACAAUGAAGACAGUUAUCUGGUCACCUUCAAAGGCUGUCUGUAGUAUGAGGCAUUUGUUUUCAUUUCCUAUUGGCACUCCAACCUCUGGAUUCUUUCAGACAGCAUAUACACAUGAAAUCCCCACAAAGCUACGCAGAGGGAAACGGGAGUGUGUGCUUCAAAAGUUCAUAAAAAUAUACAAUUUACAUAUAGCUGCAUCUAUCUAGCUUAGUCUUCAGGAACUUAGCUCUUCUGUUUAUAGAAAAUACUCUAGCCCUAAAAAGCUGCUUUUUUUCAAACAGCACAGUGGCAUUUUCCAAGGAGAGGGGUGAUGGCCAGUCUACAGUACUGUGCACUAAGCAUUGGGAGGCACUGGUAGCUAGAACUGGAUGCUCAAAAAUAUCUCAAGCUGCCAACUGGAGACAUAUGCUCUGUAAAAAGGCUUGCCUAUGGAAUAACUGAAAAUAACAUCGCAGAGCCUUUUAUAUCAGCUUUUACAAAUGCCACCAAAAAGUUGGCAGAAAAAGAAAAGAAAAUACACUUCCUAGUGGUUCAAUUAAAUGACUUACCUCCCACCAGGUUGUUAAUGAUUCAACUAUUUAAAGAGCUUAUUAAAGGGGAGGUGGUAGGGCUUAGAGUUUUGAACAAAUCUCUAUAGUAAGACAUGAUAAAGCCAAAAAAUUCCAGUCUUUAAAAAAAAAAAAAACUUAAAAAAGGAGAGUGACAGGAAAGAAGAGAAAAUACACUAGAAGAAGGCUUAUCAUUACCACCGGUUGUUAAAAUGAAAUACAGCCCUACCCGUAUGGCAAAUUAAAGGUCGACAGCUUAAAAUACUCAUCUCAGUAUAUAUAUAAAUAAAAAUUUUAAAAACUAAAAAAUUUAAUUGGCUCUUUGUUUUCUAAACAAUCCCUAAGUAGAAUAAAACUAUAUUAUCACCCAAGAAUGAUACUUUCGGUUAAAAGAAACUAAACACUUGGGAGAAGGUGAUGCAUCGCACCUAAGGGGGGAUGGGGUUUUACAAAGCUUGCAUAUCAAGGACAUAUAUUCAGAGACACGACUUUGGACUAUUCCCAGACCUCACUGCUUCUUGGCUGAAAGGAAAUUCUUCAGUGAGAAUCAUACAGUACAAGUCACAACGAUGCUAGACAUUGGUACCUACAACGCUAAGCAUAAAGGGUUGGCAUCAGCCCACGAUGGCUUCUACAUAACUAUCAAGUGGCCAUGGUUUGAAUACAGGGGUGGCAUUUUAAAGGCAGAAGGAAAAAAAAGCACAGCUUGUUUUACAGAGAGAAUAAAUGAACACCCUCUAGUGCUCCUGCUGUCGUUAACUGGAUUGAGGAGUCUCAACGUUUUAGAUCUUCUCUAUCUCUAUGAGAGUGUACAGCACUGUCUCUUUAGAUUGGGUGGGGGCAUGGGUGAGGGAGAUGGAAGAAAAGAAAAAAAAAAAGAGAGCGAGAAGGCACCGACCCAAUUCAAAAUGACUGCAUACAUCAGUAUGGAUUUUUAAGGACAAUAAGUGGCCAUCUCAACCCAAAUACAUAAUUUUACAUUUGAGAUCCUUCAGUAGUAAGUAAAAACAAAAAAUGGAAAAUGGAAAAAUUAUGUACUCUAUUGGCCAGUGUAUGGAUCAUGGCACAGAUCUAGAACUCUCUCCUACAACAAGGGUAAGUUUUUGCAAUGACAAUGAAACCAGUGUGUAAUAAAGCAGUGUUAUCAUUUUGUAGCUCUCAAAGCUACAUCUUGUACAGAGGCACAUACAGUAAAAUUCCAUCAAUUAAUAUAAGAGAGGAAGCUGUGGGCUUGCAGGGCUUCCCAGGCUGCAGCUCUGUUUAACUGAACUCCGGCAAUGACUCAGUGCUCUCUCCUGCCAAAGACCAUUAUGUGACACACAAGUGAAUCAAAUGGAUUGCUUCCGGAAUGGCAACAAAAAAUGCUUCUGUUCCCACCUCCAACCCUAUGGGUAAGGGGCUCAUAACACAUGUGGUGUCUAAUGACCACUAAAGCCUGGCCUUACACAGAGUCCCAAUAAAUUAACAAAAUAACAUAAAGAAACCUUCCCCC